rnacentral:rRNA from 1 species
CAGCCGCCGCGGUAAUACGUAGGGUGCGAGCGUUAAUCGGAAUUACUGGGCGUAAAGCGUGCGCAGGCGGUUUUGUAAGACAGAGGUGAAAUCCCCGGGCUCAACCUGGGAACUGCCUUUGUGACUGCAAGGCUGGAGUGCGGCAGAGGGGGAUGGAAUUCCGCGUGUAGCAGUGAAAUGCGUAGAUAUGCGGAGGAACACCGAUGGCGAAGGCAAUCCCCUGGGCCUGCACUGACGCUCAUGCACGAAAGCGUGGGGAGCAAACAGGAUUAGAUACCCUGGUAGUCCACGCCCUAAACGAUGUCAACUGGUUGUUGGACGGCUGGCUGUUCAGUAACGAAGCUAACGCGUGAAGUUGACCGCCUGGGGAGUACGGCCGCAAGGUUGAAACUUAAAGGAAUUGGCGGG